AAAUCUAAAUAUUACAGUUGCAAUAUGUUUUAGUUACCAUAGCAUCUCAAUAAAAGGAAUAAGCAUUUUUUGUUAGAGGAACUCAAAGAAAGUUUUAUAAAGUAAAUGACAUAUAAACUGGAUAUUUUAAGGAAGGGUAGGAGUUGUUAGACAAAGGUGGGAGUUAAGGAAAAGUGAAAGGUGAUCGCAAAUGUAGGCAUUGUGCUUUCAAGAGGCAUCAGCUGCAGUAGUAUAGAGGGGAU
rnacentral:lncRNA from 1 species